rnacentral:rRNA from 1 species
GUGAGGAAUAUUGGUCAAUGGGCGAGAGCCUGAACCAGCCAAGUCGCGUGCAGGAAGAAUGUCCUAUGGAUUGUAAACUGCUUUUGCAGGGGAAUAAAGUUCAGCACGUGUGCUGUUUUGUAUGUACUCUGCGAAUAAGGAUCGGCUAACUCCGUGCCAGCAGCCGCGGUAAUACGGAGGAUCCGAGCGUUAUCCGGAUUUAUUGGGUUUAAAGGGUGCGUAGGCGGGUUAAUAAGUCAGUGGUGAAAGUUUGCAGCUUAACUGUAAAAUUGCCGUUGAAACUGUUAAUCUGGAGUGUAGAUAAGGUAGGCGGAAUGUGUUUUGUAGCGGUGAAAUGCAUAGAUAUAACACAGAACCCCGAUUGCGAAGGCAGCUUACCGGGCUACCACUGACGCUGAUGCACGAAAGCGUGGGGAUCAAACAGGAUUAGAUACCCCGGUAGUCC